rnacentral:rRNA from 1 species
CCUACGGGUGGCAGCAGUGAGGAAUAUUGGUCAAUGGCCGGAAGGCUGAACCAGCCAUGCCGCGUGAAGGUCAGUGCCCUUUGGGCGUUUAACUUCUUUUGUGCGGGAGCAAUAAUGGUCACGUGUGGCCAGACGAGAGUACCGUACGACUAAGCAUCGGCGACCUCCGUGCCAGCAGCCGCGGUAAUACGGGGGAUGCAAGCGUUAGCCGGAUUUAUUGGGGUUAAAGGGUGCGUAGGCUGGGAGGUAAGUCAGCGGUGAAAUGCCCCCGCUCAACGGGGUGAAGUGCCAUUGAUACUGCCUAGCUGGAAUGCGGAUGCCGUGGGAGGAAUGUGUGGUGUAGCGGUGAAAUGCAUAGAUAUCACACAGAACACCGAUUGCGAAGGCAUCUCACGAAUCCGCGAUUGACGCUGAUGCACGAAAGCGUGGGUAUCAAACAGGAUUAGAUACCCCGGUAGUC